rnacentral:rRNA from 1 species
AUGAACGCUGGCGGCGUGCUUAACACAUGCAAGUCGAACGAAGCACUUUAACCUGAUUCUUCGGAUGAAGGUUUUUGUGACUGAGUGGCGGACGGGUGAGUAACGCGUGGGUAACCUGCCUCAUACAGGGGGAUAACAGUUAGAAAUGACUGCUAAUACCGCAUAAGACCACGGAGCCGCAUGGCUCAGUGGGAAAAACUCCGGUGGUAUGAGAUGGACCCGCGUCUGAUUAGGUAGUUGGUGGGGUAACGGCCUACCAAGCCAACGAUCAGUAGCCGACCUGAGAGGGUGACCGGCCACAUUGGGACUGAGACACGGCCCAAACUCCUACGGGAGGCAGCAGUGGGGAAUAUUGCACAAUGGGGGAAACCCUGAUGCAGCGACGCCGCGUGAGCGAAGAAGUAUUUCGGUAUGUAAAGCUCUAUCAGCAGGGAAGAAAAUGACGGUACCUGACUAAGAAGCACCGGCUAAAUACGUGCCAGCAGCCGCGGUAAUACGUAUGGUGCAAGCGUUAUCCGGAUUUACUGGGUGUAAAGGGAGCGUAGACGGCUGUGUAAGUCUGAAGUGAAAGCCCGGGGCUCAACCCCGGGACUGCUUUGGAAACUAUGCAGCUAGAGUGUCGGAGAGGUAAGUGGAAUUCCCAGUGUAGCGGUGAAAUGCGUAGAUAUUGGGAGGAACACCAGUGGCGAAGGCGGCUUACUGGACGAUGACUGACGUUGAGGCUCGAAAGCGUGGGGAGCAAACAGGAUUAGAUACCCUGGUAGUCCACGCCGUAAACGAUGACUACUAGGUGUCGGGGAGCAAAGCUCUUCGGUGCCGCAGCAAACGCAAUAAGUAGUCCACCUGGGGAGUACGUUCGCAAGAAUGAAACUCAAAGGAAUUGACGGGGACCCGCACAAGCGGUGGAGCAUGUGGUUUAAUUCGAAGCAACGCGAAGAACCUUACCAGGUCUUGACAUCGAUCUAAAAGGGAUGGAGACAUCCCCAUAGCUAUAGAGAAGACAGGUGGUGCAUGGUUGUCGUCAGCUCGUGUCGUGAGAUGUUGGGUUAAGUCCCGCAACGAGCGCAACCCUUAUCUUCAGUAGCCAGCAUUUUGGAUGGGCACUCUGGAGAGACUGCCAGGGAUAACCUGGAGGAAGGUGGGGAUGACGUCAAAUCAUCAUGCCCCUUAUGAGCAGGGCUACACACGUGCUACAAUGGCGUAAACAAAGGGGAGCAAGCCUGCGAGGGUAAGCAAAUCUCAAAAAUAACGUCUCAGUUCGGAUUGUAGUCUGCAACUCGACUACAUGAAGCUGGAAUCGCUAGUAAUCGCGAAUCAGCAUGUCGCGGUGAAUACGUUCCCGGGUCUUGUACACACCGCCCGUCACACCAUGGGAGUUGGUAACGCCCGAAGUCAGUGACCCAACCGUAAGGAGGGAGCUGCCGAAGGUGGGACCGAUAACUGGGGUG